UGGGGAAUCUUGGGCAAUGGGCGAAAGCCUGACCCAGCAACGCCGCGUGAAGGAUGAAGUAUUUCGGUAUGUAAACUUCGAAAGAAUAGGAAGAAUAAAUGACGGUACUAUUUAUAAGGUCCGGCUAACUACGUGCCAGCAGCCGCGGUAAUACGUAGGGACCAAGCGUUGUUCGGAUUUACUGGGCGUAAAGGGCGCGUAGGCGGCAAUUCAAGUCAUCUGUGAAAUCUCCGGGCUUAACUCGGAACGGUCAGAUGAUACUGCUUUGCUAGAGUGCAGAAGGGGCAAUCGGAAUUCUUGGUGUAGCGGUGAAAUGCGUAGAUAUCAAGAGGAACACCUGAGAUGAAGACGGGUUGCUGGGCUGACACUGACGCUGAGGCGCGAAAGCCAGGGGAGCAAACGGGAUUAGAUACCCCUUAGUCCCUGAGCGGGCUGGCAAGGCGCAU
rnacentral:rRNA from 1 species